GACGAAGGAUGCAAGCGUUAUCCGGGUUCAUUGGGUUUAAAGGGAGCGUAGGUGGUCUUAUAAGUCAGUGGUGAAAUCUCGCAGCUUAACUGCGAAACUGCCAUUGAUACUGUAGGACUUGAGUGUAGUUGCUGUGGGCGGAAUAUGACAUGUAGUGGUGAAAUACUUAGAGAUGUCAUAGAACACCGAUUGCGAAGGCAGCUCACAAAACUAUAACUGACACUGAGGCUCGAAAGUGCGGGGAUCAAACAGG
rnacentral:rRNA from 1 species